rnacentral:rRNA from 1 species
UACGUAGGGCGCAAGCGUUGUCCGGAAUUAUUGGGCGUAAAGAGCUCGUAGGCGGCUUGUUGCGUCGGUUGUGAAAGCCCGGGGCUUAACCCCGGGUCUGCAGUCGAUACGGGCAGGCUAGAGUGUGGUAGGGGAGAUCGGAAUUCCUGGUGUAGCGGUGAAAUGCGCAGAUAUCAGGAGGAACACCGGUGGCGAAGGCGGAUCUCUGGGCCUUACCUGACGCUCAGGCACGAAAGCUAGGGGAGCGAACAGG